AAGAUAAAAAAAAUUAUGAAUCAAUUAUGUCGUCUCUGUAGUCCUCCACGCCAUCGUCAUCUAUGGCGAUCUCCCUCAGCCCCACUGCCGUCAUCUCUGGCGAUUUCCCUCAGCCCCGCCGUCAUCAGUUCCACCGUCAAAUUUUGAGGAGAGAAAAGAACCCUAAAUCACGACAAAUCUAUGGAGCGCGACGAAGAUGGAGAUGUGCAAUAACAGAGGAGGCGAAGAAACACUAAUCGGAGGCCUAUUAUAAGCGGCGAGCUUCUCGACAUUGAAUCUUACUCGAUGCUUUAUAAAGGAUGAGCAAAGAUCAUGUGCCUACUCUUCAUCGCAAGCCAAUACGGAGGAAACCAUAUGCUGCAGCUUGAAGCAUUGAGGAUGGCUCACGAUGAGAUCAAAAAGGGAGAGAACACACAGUUGUUCAGAGAUCUGGUUAAUAGGAUCAACGGGAGCCUUGACAAGACGAUUCUAGCUGGGGCUACACUCAGAGUGGGAUACAGUUUGAUUGGAGAACUCGGGAAAAAAUCUGCAUUGGUGUUGCGAAAGGCCUUGCCUUUCUUCACGAAGAAGUAAGGCUGCACAUUAUCCACAGAGAUAUCAAGGCAAGCAACAUUCUUCACCGUCGUGAUAGCGACGAAGGUGUAGACAGCGUCACAACUGGUGGACGUAAGAAGAAAAGACAGACAGCUAUUCCUGUCUCUCUGGCACCUGCGCAAAGCCGAUAUCAUCUCAGGAGACAUAGAAAUGUAGGAACAGAAGAGGAUAAAGCACAAGAAUCAACCGGUGCAAUGGAAAAACAAGAGUGUGUCAAUGGUGAUGAUAUCAGAACAGUGCAAGAAGCAACAAAAACACCCGUUUACCCACUGAAUAUCAAUAUCUCCUUGAAAGAGCUUGGGAACUUUAUGAGGGGAAUGAGCUCGCGGAUCUCGUCGACACAGGGCUAAACGGAGUCUUUGACGCAGGGGAAGCUUGCCGGUACCUAAAAAUUGGUCUCCUGUGCACGCAAGACAGUCCAAAGCUAAGGCCAACCAUGUCCACGGUGGUGAAGCUGUUGACAUGGGAGAAGGAUAUAAGGAUAUAGACACGAGGAAAAUAACCAGGCCCGGUUUGAUAUCUGAUUUUAUGGACUUGAAACUUUGAAAGUGAGAGGACCAGUGGAGACAAAGCCAGACGAAGUGAACAGAAACAACAACUACACAGACCCUUCUUCUUACAAUGCCUCGUCUAGAUCCGGGACUAGACGUAACUCAAAUGCUUACUCCUCGGGGGCUUCGUCAGCUGCUGCGGUUUCUUCGUUCAGAAGUACCAUUUAGACAAAAGACAAAAAGUGUUUGAUGUUUUCUGUGUCUCUAUCAUCUUCUUGAGUUCUUGGUUUCAAAACAGAGGUUUUCUGUUAGAUUUUGAAUCAAAUAAGAGAAGGAGUUUUGUGCCUCACUCUUGUUAAGAUUGUCUUCAGUUGUAAAAAAAGAUUUGAGUUUUUAUGUAUAUAAGUUUGAAUC